rnacentral:rRNA from 1 species
GACGAACGCUGGCGGCGUGCUUAACACAUGCAAGUCGAACGAUGAUGCCCAGCUUGCUGGGCGGAUUAGUGGCGAACGGGUGAGUAAUACGUGAGUAACCUGCCCUUGACUCUGGGAUAAGCCUGGGAAACUGGGUCUAAUACUGGAUACUACCUCUUAUCGCAUGGUGGGUGGUGGAAAGGGUUUUACUGGUUUUGGAUGGGCUCACGGCCUAUCAGCUUGUUGGUGGGGUAAUGGCUCACCAAGGCGACGACGGGUAGCCGGCCUGAGAGGGUGACCGGCCACACUGGGACUGAGACACGGCCCAGACUCCUACGGGAGGCAGCAGUGGGGAAUAUUGCACAAUGGGCGGAAGCCUGAUGCAGCGACGCCGCGUGAGGGAUGACGGCCUUCGGGUUGUAAACCUCUUUCAGUAGGGAAGAAGCGAGAGUGACGGUACCUGCAGAAGAAGCGCCGGCUAACUACGUGCCAGCAGCCGCGGUAAUACGUAGGGCGCAAGCGUUGUCCGGAAUUAUUGGGCGUAAAGAGCUCGUAGGCGGUUUGUCGCGUCUGCUGUGAAAGCCCGGGGCUCAACCCCGGGUCUGCAGUGGGUACGGGCAGACUAGAGUGCAGUAGGGGAGACUGGAAUUCCUGGUGUAGCGGUGAAAUGCGCAGAUAUCAGGAGGAACACCGAUGGCGAAGGCAGGUCUCUGGGCUGUUACUGACGCUGAGGAGCGAAAGCAUGGGGAGCGAACAGGAUUAGAUACCCUGGUAGUCCAUGCCGUAAACGUUGGGCACUAGGUGUGGGGGACAUUCCACGUUUUCCGCGCCGUAGCUAACGCAUUAAGUGCCCCGCCUGGGGAGUACGGCCGCAAGGCUAAAACUCAAAGGAAUUGACGGGGGCCCGCACAAGCGGCGGAGCAUGCGGAUUAAUUCGAUGCAACGCGAAGAACCUUACCAAGGCUUGACAUUCACCGGACCGCUCCAGAGAUGGGGUUUCCCUUCGGGGCUGGUGGACAGGUGGUGCAUGGUUGUCGUCAGCUCGUGUCGUGAGAUGUUGGGUUAAGUCCCGCAACGAGCGCAACCCUCGUUCUAUGUUGCCAGCACGUGAUGGUGGGGACUCAUAGGAGACUGCCGGGGUCAACUCGGAGGAAGGUGGGGAUGACGUCAAAUCAUCAUGCCCCUUAUGUCUUGGGCUUCACGCAUGCUACAAUGGCCGGUACAAAGGGUUGCGAUACUGUGAGGUGGAGCUAAUCCCAAAAAGCCGGUCUCAGUUCGGAUUGAGGUCUGCAACUCGACCUCAUGAAGUCGGAGUCGCUAGUAAUCGCAGAUCAGCAACGCUGCGGUGAAUACGUUCCCGGGCCU